rnacentral:rRNA from 1 species
UUCUUCGGAGAGUUUGAUCCUGGCUCAGGAUGAACGCUGGCGGCGUGCCUAAUACAUGCAAGUCGAGCGAACUGAUUAGAAGCUUGCUUCUAUGACGUUAGCGGCGGACGGGUGAGUAACACGUGGGCAACCUGCCUGUAAGACUGGGAUAACUCCGGGAAACCGGAGCUAAUACCGGAUA